GCGGCGAGCGGGGGAGCCUGACCUGCAGCUGCUGUAAAUCAAAAGCGCUUCCAUAUUGAAACAUCGAUCCCACAUUGGCCGCCAUCUUGAGACAUAUUGAGACAGAAUGAAAGAGGCUGGAGUUCCUGUCUUCACCCUUUCUCCGCUGCCUCCCUGUUCCACGAGUCUGUUCUGUGUCCAGGCAACUGCAAAAAGACCUUUCAAAGGCUCCUGCCGUGCCAUGUAGAUGUUUUCUCUUGUUAGUUUGGACUGCAGGAUCGAGUCCCUCGUUUGCCAUUUUGUGUGGCAGCAAGCCCAAGGAAAUCUUGCUUGACAGCUCUGUUUUCUCAAAGUGCUGCAUUUCUUCGGGCUGGAUUCUGCAAAGAUCCUGCAGGCUACAGAGCUCCUUGGAGCAAGCGAUAAUGUGCUUUGUGUUCCUGCUGAAACAUACCUGUGUGCCAUGGGAGAGGGAGCUUGGAAAAUUGGGUGCACCCUGGCAAGAAGAUGGUUAGAAUAAAGUUUUCUUGGGUUAUUAUGUUUUGAGGAAUCAUUCUCAUCUGUUCGUUUGAGGAAGGUUUUUUCUAAAGUUAGAUUUGAUCUGUGUAAAUGCUAACUUCUUUCAACGGGCACUAAUAGAGUACUGAAAAAGGAAGCACCGUGGAGUUGGAGUUUAAAUCUCAAAUGAUUGCAGCAACUAGUAAUGAUUGAUACAUCCAAAAUAUUUGUGAGUAUGUUGUGCAGAUUUCUUUUUAGGAAUUGGGUGAAAAUCACAUUAAAAUUUGUUACCUUUUAAUGUCAUAAGAUCUCACUGAUACAGCUCUUUAAUGAACUUAUUUUCACUUUGGGCCAUCACAGAAAAUUCUUCUUGUUAUUCUUCAUGUCAUCAUCUGGAAUACUGAAGAAAAUGGAUCUUUAUUCCAAAGGUCCCAGACUGGCUGGGAGCAGUUCCUUAGCACGGCUGCUCCCCUGGGCAUCAGUCUGCAUUCAUGAGGAUAUUUUGGACAAUGAGUCCAGUAUUGAUCUUAGGCUUCUCUUUGCCUUAAUGAACCUGGAUGAUUUUCUUGGCCAUGGCACUGAAAGGUGAGGUGCUGCUUCUCCCAGCACCUGUAACUUUUUGGUCUCUUCUCCAAGGAUUAUUGUGGGUUUUUUGGUUUUUUUCUCAUUUUCAUGUAAACUGACUCCCAAAUUUCUAUCAAUUCCCCUAAAAGAGUUCCUCCAGAGCCUUCUCUGUACCUCUGUCUCCUCCUUGUCCAGCUCCUUCCCCUCUCACUUCAUAGCUCUCAUCUUUGCAUUUUCUUCAGCUGAUUCUUUUCCCUGGCUGCCAGUGCCUGAUGGAAAGGAGCUCCUCAUUCCAAAAUCCCAGCCCUCUCCACUGUGGAAGUGCCUCUGUUCACUUUUAACUGGAUUUGAGAUAUCCUUUACUGCUCUGUGCCACUGCCCAGCGAGAUUCCACAGGGACGGCAGGGAACAGAGGCAGCCAAACAGAUAAUUUAUGUUCCUGGGAGAUUUAGUCCAAAUUAAGAUCAAAACUCAUAUAUGACUUCCAAAUCACGGAGUUUUUUUUUUUCCCAAUUAUUGUCAAUGACUCUAAUUCUGCUUGAUUUAUAUCUGUGGUAGUAGCCAGAGGUUUUGCAGCACAUAAAUUGCCUGAGGGUUUGGCCAGUGGUAUGGACACUGUGACGUGUAGAAACUCAGGAAAACCCCUGAGCAGAAAAUGGUAGGAAACAGGGAAAAUAGCAGGGAGAAGUAUCCCCCAUGCCUGCACACAGUUACCUGGGUGUCCAGCUGUGGUCACUCAGUGGGAUGGAUCCUUGUUUUCACAACCAACAUGACAAUUCCCACCUUCUUUGGUAAAUUGGGAAAGUUUUAGCAGAGAUCACGUAGAUGGCGGCACACAGGAUCCGAGCACAAAAUGCUGAUUUCUGUUGUCCUGUGAGCACUGCACAGCUACAGAUACACUCUGGCAGGUGGAAGAGAAGACAGUGAUCCUCACAGAGGGCAGGGAAAACAGCCACAAUUAAAAGCAAAGUAAGUUUGCCAGGUGUGGUUACUUGCUGGGUAACUCUCAGGACGUUUACGAGGAUCCAGCAUAACCCACAGCAGAUCUUCCUUGAGGAUUUGUGGAUUAACCCACACCAACACAAACAUGGGAUGGCACUGCAGCGGUGUCUCUGCCGUGUGCAGCAGGAGUUACUGAAGACCCAAAAAAAGCUCCCAGAACAUUUCUCUAAAAUAACUGUUUUGUCACCAAAUGUUCCAUUGAGAUGCGUGGUUGUGUUUUGGCCAACAUCUGGAACAGCAGAAAGAGUUAGAGGAGGAAAGGAUCUCUUGGGUUAUGCAUUCCCUGGAGCUGGAGUAAAUUUGAUACUGAAUUUCUCUCAGGGUAUGGUUCACCCCAGUUUUAAUUUGUCAGCACUGUCCUUGCCUUCUCAUCCCAGAUCCCAUGCACAGGAUGGUACCAGAGCCAGGAUUCUGUUGGAUGGAAGGCGCACUGAGUCCUUCUCUAAAGGGAUCAGCAGACAAGUUAGUAGGUUAUGUUCCCAGGAAAAAUUCCCACCUUUUUUCUCUCUUGAAAUCUUUCAGGUUUUUUACCUUUUACUGGUUUCUCUUAGAGGUUUGGGGUUUGGGUUUUGCACAUCUGGUUGUUUUUUGUUUUUUUGUGGUAUUUAACUCUUGCUCUUCCUCAUUUCAGGUUCUUGCUCUUCCCCUCUCCCUCCUUGCUCAGGUCCAUUUUGGCUGUGCUUUCACUUCCACUAACUCUGUCCCAGCCAGGUAUUUCCCCCAGUUUGUGCUGUAUCUUCAGCUCCAAUACUCCACAUAUUACUUUAGAAUAAGGAUCUGAAGUCUGCAUUAUUAUUAUUAUUAUUAUUAUUAUUAUUAUU